AAGUUGCAAAGAACUUUGAAGAGAGAGUUCAAGAGGGCGUGAAACCGCUUAGAAGCAAACGGAUGGACCUGACAGUGAAUCCCUAGUAUUCAGCUCUUUGUCCCUUCUUUACCUGCCUUGAGAUCGCAAGACUUGAGCGUGGCGUACGUAAGGUCAAUGAGUGCAUUUGCUGAGGAUGCGCACUAGGACUUGUCACGGAGCUGGAAGAAAGUGAUGGGUUGAGGACCACAUCUGCUUGGUGUCCCGCCUGUUGCCCUAACCGGGUUUCUGUGACAAGGUUGAACGAGAAGGGAUCCGCCUCUACUCACCGGCUGGGGGAGCCUUGGCAGUUGAAAUGUGAUUUUGUGCACGCACGACUUUGCGCUGCCUGACGGGGUGAACUUGGUCUGGUGAGUUGAUCCCGAAUCCUGGUGUUUUUGUUGGUCACCCAUCCGACCCGUCUUGAAACACGGACCAAGGAGUCUAACAUGUGCGCGAGUCAUUGGGUGGUAAAACCUAAAGGCGAAAUGAGAGUGAAGGCCAGUUUGUCUGGUUGUCAUGGGAUCCUCUGCUUUGAGUGGGGGCGCACCAUGGUCCCGUUCAUACUGCAUUGUCAGUGGAGCGGAGAUUGAGCGUACACGUUGGGACCCGAAAGAUGGUGAACUAUGCCUGAGCAGGAUGAAGCCAGAGGAAACUCUGGUGGAGAUCCAUAGCGAUUCUGACGUGCAAAUCGAUCGUCGGACUUGGGUAUAGGGGCGAAAGACUAAUCGAACCAUCUAGUAGUG
rnacentral:rRNA from 1 species